AACCUAAGUUGUGGACAUUGUUGAAGAAAAUCUUUAUAUCUUUCUCAUACCUCAUAAUAGAACCAUGAAUUAAGCUAUGAGAACUUAGUAAUCUCAUCUAUCAACUU
rnacentral:snoRNA from 1 species